rnacentral:rRNA from 1 species
GACGAACGCUGGCGGCGUGCUUAACACAUGCAAGUCGAGCGGUAAGGCCCUUUCGGGGUACGACGAGCGGCGAACGGGUAGGAGUAACAACGUGGGUGGACCUCGCCCUCCAGCUCUGGGAGUAAGACCCGGGAAACCGUAGGGUCGUAAUACCGGAGUAUGACUCCAUGACGCAUGUUGUGGGGUGGGAAAGACCUUGUGCGGCUGAGGAUGGGCCC